UACGGGGGGAGCAAGCGUUGUUCGGAUUCACUGGGCGUAAAGGGUGCGUAGGUGGCCGGGUAAGUCUGAUGUGAAAUCUCCGAGCUUAACUCGGAAAUGGCAUUGGAUACUAUUCGACUGGAGGGUUGGAGGGGGGACUGGAAUUCUCGGUGUAGCAGUGAAAUGCGUAGAUAUCGAGAGGAACACCAGUGGCGAAGGCGAGUCCCUGGACAACUCCUGACACUGAGGCACGAAAGCUAGGGGAGCAAACGGG
rnacentral:rRNA from 1 species